GACGAACGCUGGCGGCGUGCCUAAUACAUGCAAGUAGAACGCUGAAGAGAGGAGCUUGCUCUUCUUGGAUGAGUUGCGAACGGGUGAGUAACGCGUAUGUAACCUGCCUUGUAGCGGGGGAUAACUAUUGGAAACGAUAGCUAAUACCGCAUAACAAUGGAUGACACAUGUCAUUUAUUUGAAAGGGGCAAUUGCUCCACUACAAGAUGGACCUGCGUUUUAUUAGCUAGUAGGUGAGGUAAUGGCUCACCUAGGCGACGAUACAUAGCCGAACUGAGAGGGGGAUCGGCCAAAAUGGGACUGAGACAAGGCCCAGACUCCUACGGGAGGCAGCAGUAGGGAAUCUUCGGAAAUGUGGGCAACCCUGACCGAGCAAAGCCGAGUGAGUGAAGAAGGAUGUCGGAUCGGAAAGCUCUGUUGUAAGUCAAGAAAGGGUGUGAGAGUGGAAAGUUCACACUGUGACGGUAGCUUAACAGAAAGGGACGGCUAACUACGUG
rnacentral:rRNA from 1 species